ensembl:lncRNA
AAUGGGGCCACUGCUCUCAAAUCAUCAAGACAACUGAGGCUUUGAGGAUUUGCUAUGAAACUUUCAACAGAAGGAACUCCCGUGGAUGAAUUACAUUGUUCUUUAUGGAAAAGAUGAAAACUUUCUUUGUGGCUCUCAUGGUUAUUGGCUAUUUCUCAUAUAUUUUUGGUAACAUCGGAGAUAAGCUGCUUUCAACAACAAAGCAAGGAAGAUGUAGUAUGGCUUUUAAUAGGAAAAUAUUUACUACCUUGAUCUUAAUAGGAAGUUUGCCAAUCUGUGCACUAAUCUCCACAACCAUAAGAAUGGGCCUUCUAAAAUGCAAAUCUGAUUAAGAUGCCACCCUCCUUAAAGAAAGGCUCCUACUACCCUUACGGACAAAUCUAAAGUGAAUAGUCAAGUUUAAAAAGGCAGCCAAUUCAAGGAAACUUAAAAAAAUGGCACCUGAAUUCGGAAGAAGUCAUGAACCAAGUGACUGAAAUUUGGGAAACAUUACUAGCUUUGGAAUUCACUCUUUCAGUUCGACAUCUUGGAAAAUGUCAGAAGUUCAAGAAAUCUUGACUGUGAAGUGACUUUCUUUUAUUCAUCAUAAAUGAACCCAUCUGAAUCAACCAUCAUCUUUCCUUCAAAAGGCAAAAUUCAUUAUAUUUUCUUAUUAAAAAAUCAAUAAAUCUUAUGCUAUGGAAAGUUCC